rnacentral:lncRNA from 1 species
CUCCUCUCCUUUCCUCUCCUCAGGUCUCAGUUAGUCCAUCUAAGAGAACAGAAAAUUACCUCUCAGUGUUUUUCUCCUCUCCUCUCUCCUUCUCUCCUUUCCUCUCUCCUUCUCUCCUCUCCUCUCCUCAGGUCUCAGUUGGUCCAUUUGAGAGAAGAGAAAAAUACCUCUCGAUGUGUUUCUCCUCUCCUUCUCUCCUUCCUCUUCUCUCCUCUUCUCCUCAGGUCUCAGUUAGUCCGUCUAAGGGACCAGAAUAAUACCUCUCAGUGUGUUUCUCCUCUCCUCUCUCCUUCUCUCCUUUCCUCUCUCCUUCCCUUCUCUCCUGUUCUCCUCAGGUCUCAGUUAGUCCGUCUGAGAGAAGAGAAAAAUACCUCUCGGUGUUUCUCCUCUCCUUUCUCCUCUGAAAGUGUGUUUCUGUAGAAGUAGAAGAAGAUGUGGGUUAUUCUGUAUGGCUUUGUUGUGUAAUGAAUUAACAGACUUGCAUAUUGUGACAGUUUGUGAAAGCAGGUCAGGGUGAAUCAAUACUAUCUUUGUCUCCUUCUCGCAGCUCUAUCUGUCUUUUUCUUUUCAUCAUUCAUGCACGUCUGUCUGCUUAUCUAACCCGCUCUAAAACCCCUUCUCCCUGUCUCUCUUUUCCCUCCUCAUACACCCAGAAGCAAAGAGUGACUUGAAGGGCAGAGGGUGAAAACACAAAUUAGGCACAGAGAGGGACAGAGUGAGUGGCAGAGACGGAGGAGGAGGAGGAAAUGGAGGGAGAGACCAUGUAAAAAGAGAUGGGAGAAAGAGAUUGUCUCCGAUAUCGAUCUGGUAAUCCUCGCUGUGCUCUGUGGCGAUUCUAAUCUUCCUCCUACACGAGAUGAGGAGACGCAGGGAAAGGGCGAGAGGGAAAAAGGGAGUACAUUUGAAGGAGGGAGGGAGGGAGUGGUGAAGCAAGGACAGAGGGGAGGUGAGAGAGGAGGUGCAGUGCCAUCCAGUGGUGCAGAGGCACAGUGCAGCGCUGAGGGUUUGACCCAUUAUUUCAUUGAUGAUAUCUGUUAGCGUGUUCUCAGCUCUGCGGGUUUGGGUGUUAGGGAAAAAAACUAAACAUUCACUAUUUCAUGAAGCAGAAGCAGAAUUUUUCACCUCACAGUCUUUUUCUCAGAGGAAGGAGAUUUUAAAACAGUGAAGACAUGAUCUGUAUCAGAGACUCUGACCUUAAUACUGGGAAACAAACCCAGUCCUUCCAGAUUUUUGAGUGUUGUUUUGUGCAAAAAAGUAUGGUGCAAUACCAUGUGAUAUGAUAUGAUAUGAUAUGAUACAAUAUAAUAGGAUACGAUAGGAUACAAUAUGAUACGAAAUGAUAUAUGAUAUGAUACAAUACGAUAUGAUAUGAUAUCAUAUAUCAUAUCAUAUCAUAUCAUAUCAUAUGAUACGAUAUAUGAUAUGACAUGAUAUGAUAUGAUAUGACAUGAAUUGAUAUAAUAUGAUAUGAUAUGGUAUGGUUUGGUAUGGUAUGAUAUGAUAUGAUACGAUAUCAUAUGACAUGAUAUGCUUUGAUAUGAUAUGAUGUGAUAUCAUAUGAUACCAUACGAUAGGAUGUGAUAUGAUAUGAUAUGAUAUAUGAUACGAUAUGAUAUGAUAUGAUAUGAUAUAUGAUACGUUAUGAUAUGAUGAUAUGAUAUGACACGAUAUAAGAUAAUAUGAUGAUAUGUUUUGAUAUAAUAGAAUAUGAUAUAUUGAGAAAAGAUUUGAGAUGAUGAUACAAUAUGAUAUGAUACGAAAUGAUAUAAUAUGAUAUGGUAUGGUAUGAUAUUAUAUGAUAUGAUAUGAUAUGAUAUGAUACGAUAUCAUAUGACAUGAUAUGCUUUGAUAUGAUAUGAUGUGAUAUCAUAUGAUACCAUAU